GGGUUGUGAGGUUAAGCGACUAAGCGUACACGGUGGAUGCCCUGGCAGUCAGAGGCGAUGAAGGACGUGCUAAUCUGCGAUAAGCGUCGGUAAGGUGAUAUGAACCGUUAUAACCGGCGAUUUCCGAAUGGGGAAACCCAGUGUGAUUCGUCACACUAUCGUUAACUGAAUACAUAGGUUAACGAAGCGAACCGGGGGAACUGAAACAUCUAAGUACCCCGAGGAAAAG
rnacentral:rRNA from 1 species